GGGAGGCAGCAGUAGGGAAUCUUCCCCAAUGGACGCAAGUCUGACGGAGCAACGCCGCGUGAGUGAUGAAGGCUUUCCGGUCGUAAAACACUGUUGUUAGGGAAGAACAAGUACAAGAGUAACUGCUCGUACCUUGUCGGUACCUAACCAGAAAGCCACGGCUAACUACGUGCCAGCAGCCGCGGUAAUACGUAGGUGGCAAGCGUUAUCCGGAAUUAUUGGGCGUAAAGCGCGCGCAGGCG
rnacentral:rRNA from 1 species